CAGAAUAAAAUCAGUACUUUUCAGUUGUUUAAUCAGUUUAACCGGCUGAGACACGUCACGACGACGACAUCAGUCUAAUCCAGGUCGCUGACGUCACGGUGUCGUACAUCAGCUGUAGUUAGCUGUUAGCAUGUAGCUUCUGUCAGUCAGAGGUUGAUGCUGAUCAAAACAGGCAUAAAACCUUCUGUACCACGUCAUCAGAGGACCUGCUGCUUCAUUAAUAAAGAUGAUGAAGGGUUAAUGGUUUAAACGGGUCAGACAUGGUGUGAACAGAGUUUGGUUUUGAAAGAAAAACGCCUGAAAUUACCGGUUUCACGCUUCAGCCAAUCAGAAGAGAGCUGCAGAGAAACAGGAAGCACUGGUCAGAACAAUCAGCUGAUUACUGGCUUGGAGACAGGUCUAGUCUGCCUCUGCUCUGAUGUUUAUCUGACCUUCAGCUGGUGGUGUCGGUGUGAGUGAAGGUUUCAUUUCAGCUUCAGGAUGAGCAGCCGAGGAGGAGAGCAGGGAGGUGCCGGAGCAGCUCAACAACCAGGAGGACCUGAGGAGGAUGAAGAGGACUUCUUUGACUGCCAGGAGAGCAUCGAGACUUCAAACACCACAGAGGAUGAACAGGAGGAGAGGAAAGAGGAUGGUGGAGACAAGAGGGAAGAGAGCCAAAAGGACGCUUCAGGUUCAGAUGAGUUUCCCCCAAAAAUACCAGACAGAAUAUCUGACAGCGUAGACACAGAGAGGGAGACGAGGGGGGGAGGGCAGAAGGAGAAGGACCAGCAACAUGGUGAAAAGGAGCAAGAGGAGAAAGAGCAUCAGGACCAGGUUGAUGUCCUGCAGGACGAUUCAUACUCUGAGCUGAAAGACGAGGAGGCAUCCAGAGGAGUGGAGUUUGAUGAUGACUACCUGAGGGAGGUGGAGAAGAAGCUGACAGAGGAGGAAAAGGAGAGUCGUCGGCAGCAGAGUGUAAAACUGAAGGAAGCGGGAAACAGCCUCUUUAAAGCUGGAGACUGGAAGGAGGCAGAGCGAAGCUACACAGAGGCACUGGCUUUAUGUCCUGUUUGUUUUAGCAGAGAGAGGGCCGUGCUGUUCUCCAACCGAGCUGCUGCAAGACUGCAUCUGGAGCUGAAGGAUGAGGCCAUAUCAGACUGCAGCAGAGCGAUAGAUUUGGAUCCAGAGUAUCUGCGGGCAUUGCUGAGGAGGGCAGAACUUUAUGAGAAAACUGAAAAACUGGAUGAAGCUCUGGAGGACUACAAACAAGUUCUAGAGCGAGAUCCGAACAACAGUGGAGCCAGGCGGGCCUGCAUGAGGCUGCCUCAGCAGAUUCAGGAGCGAAACGAGAAGUUAAAAGAGGAGAUGAUCGGAAUCAUGAAGCAGUCUACCUUCAGUUCCCUCCUCUCCAUCUGCGCCGCCUGUUUCCCCGGUCUCCAAAACGAGCAGACCCAUGGGUCAGAGCUCAUGUGAGGGACCGCACUUUCUCCGCUUCUUUGGUUCUUAUAGAUCACAACCUUUGCAUGAUAAACUGAAGGACCUGGGAAACCUGAUCCUGAGGCCAUUUGGACUCUCCACCAACAAUUUCCAGCUCAACCAGGACCCCACCAGUGGAUCCUACUCAAUCAACUUCGUCCAGAACCCCAACAACA